rnacentral:snRNA from 14 species
GGGUUCUCCUCAUCAACCCAUAUGCUAAGAUUGGAUGAUACAGAUUAGCAUUGGCCCUGAGCAAGGAUGAAUACCAAUCUGUGAAGCCCUCUGAGAGGUG